GACGAACGCUGGCGGCGCGCCUAACACAUGCAAGUCGAACGGAGCGGCGAGAAGCUUGCUUUUCUUAGCUUAGUGGCGAACGGGUGAGUAACGCGUGAGUAACCUGCCCUGGAGUGGGGGACAACAGUUGGAAACGACUGCUAAUACCGCAUAAGCCCACGAUCCGGCAUCGGAUUGAGGGAAAAGGAUUUAUUCGCUACAGGAUGGACUCGCGUCCAAUUAGCUAGUGGGUGGGGUAACGGCCCACCAAGGCGACGAUUGGUAGCCGGACUGGGAGGUGGACCGGCCGCGUUGGGAAUGAGACACGGCCCAGACUCCUACGGGAGGCAGCAGUGGGGGAUAUUGCACAAUGGGGGAAACCCUGAUGCAGCGACGCCGCGUGGAGGAAGAAGGUUUUCGGAUUGUAAACUCCUGUCGUUAGGGACGAUAAUGACGGUACCUAACAAGAAAGCACCGGCUAACUACGUG
rnacentral:rRNA from 1 species